AGGUGGCCAUUCAUGAAAGCUGGGUUACACAAUCACAAGUUUGCUUUGCUAAUAUUUGUCCGUGAUAAGUUGAUUAAUUAGUCGGUCCACUACCCUAUUGGCCCUAGAAUGUUGCUGUUGUGACCUCUUUACUUUUAAGGAAGAUUUGUUUCUUUUGCAUGACUCUAAAUUCUGUGAACAUAAACAAAACAAACUGGGUUCGCUUCUUCAUGCAGUCCUGGCUCUUCAAGAUCUUUACACCUCUCUGAACAGACCACCCCAACCGAAGGGAUGGAGACUGGGUGAUGCGGACCUAUGUGAAGAAUCAUGGACAGGAGUUUCGUGUUUUGGAUCAUCGGUCAUACACAUUGAACUACAUGGGCUGGAGCUUACUGGAAAUCUAGGUUUCCACCUCACCAACCUCCUUAGUCUAAAACAACUGUAUGGAUUCCUGUAAAAUCUUCCAUUAAUGAAAGUACUAAAGGGUUAAUCAUAUGUAAUAUAUGUAUCUCAUAUGCUUCUUUAUAUUAGGGAUGCUAGCUAGCUCCAAUAACAUUAGCGGCGAAAUUCCAUCCAACCUACCUUUUAAUGCCACACACAUGUAAGAUAUCUGUUUUCAACGAAGUGUAUUGUACUGCAUGCAGUUAACUUCAAUUCAAUGUGAUUGAUUUGCAUUAUGUUUUUUUUCUCUUUCCAUCCUUUUUCUUUUCAUGUACUGGUUCUGUAAAUGCAGAAAUUUGGCUUGAACAACUUUACAGCAAAUAUUCCAUCCACCUUGACGACCUCCAUGAGGAAUCUUCAUCAUCUGUGAGUUGUUUAUCCAAUGAUUGCCUAAUUUGCCAGUUUUAUUUCGAUCAUCCUUAGUGAUAAGUAUAAAGUAACCUCCCAAGGUCAGCCUAGACCAAAAAGCCUAGCUCAACACGAAGGGCCAUGUAGGGGACCUAGUGGCAUGGAGCUUAGCUUGAAGAACUGAGCUCAGUAGGACCAACCCAAGGGCAAAGGUCAUCCCAAGGUCAGCCCAAACUAAAGAGCUCAUGAGCACAGCCCUAAGGGCUCAAGCUAGAGUCCCAAUUAAGAACAUGGAAUCUAGCUUAUAAUAGCUAGCCUCUAUUAAACCAGUCCAAGGACGGAAGCCUGCUCACGAGCAUAGCUCAUAGAAAGAUACCGAGCUCAGCUCACCAGGUGAGCUCAGCAAAUAUGACAAACCUGCAGCCAGACUUAUGAGACACUCCAUGCAAGAGGUUCAUACAGUCUAAAGGACUCAGAGAAAUCGGACUCUUAUUCCCUUUCUAGAAUAUCCAAGGCCUUAUCUCAUCCCAAGGAAUAACCGUGAGAAACCCAUGCACGAAGGGAACUCAGAGAGCAGCUACAGCCUUAUCUCCUCAGAAGAGGUCAAGCCACAGUCCAUAAAGGAUAACCACAGAGUCCAAAGGAGAGGAGAACUCCUAAACCUGAUAAGGACUAAUGAAGUCCUAGGUAAGGAGGAUACUUCAUCACCAACCUAUUCCCGUCAUAUACGGAUAAGCCUAACCUUGAUGACAAUCAAAGAGUCCAGAGGUGAAGGGACUCCUCAAACCUGAUAAAGGUCAGGGGAGUCCUAAGGUAAGGAGGACACUCCAACACCUAUCUAUACCUGCCACGAGUGAAUGAGACUUAAAAGUCUCGGUCCCAAGGGAUUCCUCCCAAGAUGCCUAUAUAAAGAUCACACCUCCACCUCACACAGGUACGCAAUGCAAAACUCAUACUCAGUCCAUUCUCUAUAUAUCUCGAUUGACUUAGGCAUCGGAGGGGCAAUGGCGAUAGCCACGCCGGUGCCCAUAGUUUACCGUGUCUGUUUUAUAGGUCGUUAAUCGAGCACGCCGGAAGCCGUUUCAUCCGCUGAAGGACUAGGUGGACGGUUGAGGAUAUCCCCUCCUCCGGAGGUGACUAAAAACCGCCUCAUCAUUUAGUAACAAAUGUUUUGUUGCAGGAAUUUGUGCCACAACUCAUUAUCUGGGCCCAUAGGAAAUGUAUUUGAUGGGCUUCUGAAUCUAAGAGAAAUGUAUGAGGAAACACUUUUAGAGAGACGGGAGAGAAACAAUAUGGAUUUCUAGAUGUCUCAUCCUCAAGUCGAUUGCUUGACAAGUGGAGUAGACUACGACGCAUCGUACAAACAACUAUACAUCUUGUGUUCAAUCUCUCUUCCCUUCUCUUUACUUUACACAUUUAAAAUUCUUAUCUUGCUUAUUGUUUUUAUAUAGAUGUUUAUCUAGUAACUUUUAAUUGACCAUUAUUGUUAGCAAAACUAUUCACCUCCUUCAUCAUUUCAGGCUAAAUGAUGACCCUUAGCUGAGAAGGCCAAAUUUGGCUUGUUUAUGUGAGCGCACUGGUCACUAUUUACUGAAGUGGCUGAAUGUUUUUGGAGAUGUAACCAUACUCCUGCACUAUCUUUUUUCAAUGUUUGCUUCUUUUCCGUUCUCAGCGUCUGAGAGGAUGGUUUCAAUAAAAUGCUUUCUUAUUUUUGUUAAUACCUUGGUAUGGGUUGUUAUCUUCCAGUUUGAGAUCAGCACUUUCGCGAAGGGUAUGGACAGGUCUUGGUCAAGAAUUUUCUGAAAAUGUGGGAGUGAUGUUAGUAGUUAUGUUGGAAUGCUGUAAACAAUAUUGCUAGUUCUUGGCACAAUUCGAUGAAGCUCCCAUUCCA